ensembl:antisense Gm15939 predicted gene 15939
GAGGGAUGGAGCAGUGGAGAGAGAUGGUGGCUGAGACCCGCCUGAGGAUUCACCAGGGAGCAGCCUCGACGACCUCAUCCAAGGACAGCCAGCCUGUCAGCAGGAAGGGUGGGGACCCGCAGAGCUAGGACCUCGCUGCCCGGCCAGCCUUUUUUGCCUUCGAGAGAGGAAGAGAAGGGAUGGGAACGCCGGGACGGUGCAAGUCCACUAGGGCUGCGGCCGCCUUUACCUUUGUACGCCUAAGCGGUAGCACGGCGCGGCCCGCAGGGGCUGUUCCACUGCCCCCAGAGCCACUGGGUCCCGCGCGCCCCUGGGGCUUCCGCAGCCACUCCUGAGCCCGCUGCUGCUAAAAGAGGAUCCGGCUCAUCCCAACUCUUGAUUAUCCCAGAAGAGAGCUCCUAGCGUUGUAAGCGCUCACACAUGCUCUCCGCUCCUCUCUCUGCCUCUGCCUCGUAGGGGUAGGAACGAAUUUUGGGACACAUUCAAAUAUCCCAAGCCCCAAGUUCAGCCUGCUCUGGUCUCCAGGUCCCAGCCAGGUCCAGCUAUAACUGAUCUAGUGGAACAGCUAUGGCCUCACAGCAUCCCCAUGCUCCUCCUCGCUUUGUGUGCAAGACCCGGGAGUGCGGGGUAGAGUAGCCCUUGAUUUUGCAACUUAAUUAAGCUUUACUAUGUUUAAAGCACCUUUUUACUCUGCUGGGUAGACCUUUCUGCUCAACAUUCUUCAAAACAGGACUGGCAAGUGUCCUAGGAAGAUUCUCAGGGCUAGUAUCACUCACAACUGUAGAAAUUUGAACAUUUCAAAGAGGAAUUCAGGACCUUUUUCUUGAAUUAAUUCAAAGCAGUCUUAGAAAAGUGAUUUUCUUCUCAAGAACAGUCACCAUGGUCAUCGAGGAUAAGCAAUAGCCAUCAGGAACCCAGGACAUGGUACAGAAUGCUCAGAAUUGGAAGUGACUAAUAGUAAAGUGAUCUAUACUAUCAUCAUACUGGGCCAGGCCAUAUCAAGCCCCAUAUCAAGCUCCUACAACCAGGACUGGAGAAGUCUAAAUGACCCUUAGAGAAGGGGCUGUUACUUCUGUGUGUCUCUGCAAAGAAUCAGAGUCUUUUUGCUGUUGUUGCAAGAGUAGAAGAAACCACGGAUGUGGGAAAUUCAGAAUUUUUCAGCUAUACAAAGACCCCUGUGCUCUCACCAGGAAGGUGGCCGGUUGUCUGGAGCCGAAGAUGGCGCCGCCUCAGAACAGGAAAAUCUUUUUAUGGUUCUUGUGAAGCUCACAGUUUUACUGCCAUGUAUAUUUAUUUAUAUAUUUCCUUAAAGCAUCUCAUUUAUUGUAGUUAUUAAAUUGUGUUUAUUUACUUGAGCUGUUAGAGGCAGUUUCUUUGAAUUAUACAUUGUAUUCAAAGCCUUAAGGCACCCUAACUUAAAUUCAGAGGACAUACACUUUUGUCCUUUUCUUAUACUAAAUUGAUCAUGGAGACAAGUGUACACAGUGGCAUUGUGUUUAUGGUGUGUGAUUGAAGGCCAUGAUGAAGUUAUAUAGUUGAUAUUUGAAUGACCCUAAAAACAAAUUUAUCGCAGAAGUAAAAAUACAAUGAAAACAACCCUAUGUGUUUUAUUAACAUGUGGAACUCUACAGCAGUAAUUGCUGAUAGUGGUAAAAUACUUUUGGUUUAUCAGAGACAGCUUUAGAACACAGGGCUGCUACAUGCCUGCCUCAUCGAUCUGGAUGAGUGCUCUAAAAUCUUCCUGUGGGAUCAAACAGGAGGACUCCAUUCUCCAGUGACCUAACUCUUAAGUGUGGCCCAUUCUUAAAAUAAUAUUUUUCACUGGAGUUUGGUUGCUUGGAACACUAAAUGGCUUACUCCUUGUAAGACAUAAUCCAAAACCUCCUGUCAGAGAUUUAUGGAAUUUCCACAUACACUCAGCAAGUGAAAAAUUUAUUCUCCAAUGUAUUUCUAUGUUACACAUGAUAUAGAAAGCUGCCUGGUCUAAACUUGCCUGAGUUAAAUUUAAAUGUAUUUGCCAGAAUAAAAUUCCC